UACGGGGGGGGCAAGCGUUGUUCGGAAUUACUGGGCGUAAAGGGCGCGUAGGCGGCUAGGCAAGUCAGGUGUGAAAGCCCCGAGCUUAACUCGGGAAUUGCAUCUGAAACUGCUGUGCUUGAGUUCUGGAGGGGGUAGUGGAAUUCCCAGUGUAGCGGUGAAAUGCGUAGAUAUUGGGAGGAACACCUGCGGCGAAGGCGGCUACCUGGACAGAAACUGACGCUGAGGCGCGAAAGCUAGGGGAGCGAACGGG
rnacentral:rRNA from 1 species